GACGAACGCUGGCGGCGUGCUUAACACAUGCAAGUCGAACGGAAAGGCCCUGCUUUUGUGGGGUGCUCGAGUGGCGAACGGGUGAGUAACACGUGAGUAACCUGCCCUUGACUUUGGGAUAACUUCAGGAAACUGGGGCUAAUACCGGAUAGGAGCUCCUGCUGCAUGGUGGGGGUUGGAAAGUUUCGGCGGUUGGGGAUGGACUCGCGGCUUAUCAGCUUGUUGGUGGGGUAGUGGCUUACCAAGGCUUUGACGGGUAGCCGGCCUGGGAGGGUGACCGGCCACAUUGGGACUGAGAUACGGCCCAGACUCCUACGGGAGGCAGCAGUGGGGAAUAUUGCACAAUGGGCGGAAGCCUGAUGCAGCAACGCCGCGUGCGGGAUGACGGCAUUCGGGUUGUAAACCGCUUUCGCCUGUGACGAAGCGUGAGUGACGGUAAUGGGUAAAGAAGCACCGGCUAACUACGUG
rnacentral:rRNA from 1 species